ACCUACGGGACGCAGCAGUGGGGAAUAUUGCCCAAUGGGGGAAACCCUGAUGCAGCAACGCCGCGUGAAGGAAGACGGUUUUCGGAUUGUAAACUUCUGUUCUUAGUGAAGAAUAAUGACGGUAGCUAAGGAGCAAGCCACGGCUAACUACGUGCCAGCAGCCGCGGUAAUACGUAGGUGGCAAGCGUUGUCCGGAAUUACUGGGUGUAAAGGGAGCGCAGGCGGGAAGCCAAGUCAGCUGUGAAAACUACGGGCUUAACUUGUAGACUGCAGUUGAAACUGGUUUUCUUGAGUGAAGUAGAGGU
rnacentral:rRNA from 1 species